UGGGGGAUAUUGCACAAUGGGCGAAAGCCUGAUGCAGCGACGCCGCGUGGGGGAUGAAGGCUUUCGGGUUGUAAACCUCUUUCGCUAUCGAACAAGGCCCGCUUAGGGUGGGUUGAGGGUAGGUGGAGAAGAAGCGCCGGCUAACUACGUGCCAGCAGCCGCGGUAAUACGUAGGGCGCGAGCGUUGUCCGGAAUUAUUGGGCGUAAAGGGCUUGUAGGCGGCUUGUUGCGCCUGCUGUGAAAACGCGGGGCUUAACUUCGCGCGUGCAGUGGGUACGGGCAGGCUUGAGUGUGGUAGGGGUGACUGGAAUUCCAGGUGUAGCGGUGGAAUGCGCAGAUAUCUGGAGGAACACCGAUGGCGAAGGCAGGUCACUGGGCCAUUACUGACGCUGAGGAGCGAAAGUAUGGGUAGCGAACAGG
rnacentral:rRNA from 1 species